GGAGCAUUCUGUACGGGUCGAAGCUACACCGUAAGGAGUGGUGGACUGUACAGAAGAGAGAAUGCUGGCAUGAGUAGCGAAAGGUGAGUGAGAAUCUCACCCAUCGGAAGCCUAAGGUUUCCUGAGGAAGGCUCGUCCACUCAGGGUUAGUCGGGACCUAAGCCGAGGCCGAAUGGCGUAGGCGAUGGAAAACAGGUUGAGAUUCCUGUACCACCUGUUUGCGUUUGAGAGAUGGGGUGACGCAGGAGGAUAGGCUAUGCGCACUGUUGGUUAUGUGCGUCCAAACCUGUAGGGAGUUUCUGUAGGCAAAUCCGCAGAAACAAUCCCGAGAGGUGAUGGGGAGCGAAAAAUAAGUAGCGAAGUAGUCGAUUCCACACUGCCAAGAAAAGCCUCUAUCGAGUAAACAGGUGCCCGUACCGCAAACCGACACAGGUAGGCAGGGAGAGAAUCCCAAGAUGAGCGGGAGAACCCUUGUUAAGGAACUCGGCAAAAUGACCCCGUAACUUCGGGAGAAGGGGUGCCGGUUGAGGUGAAGCCUUUACGGCGUAAGCUUUGACCGGUCGCAGUGACCAGGCCCAAGCGACUGUUUAGCAAAAACACAGGUCUCUGCUAAGUCGAAAGACGAAGUAUAGGGGCUGACGCCUGCCCGGUGCUGGAAGGUUAAGGGGAAGUGUUAGCGCAAGCGAAGCACUGAACUUAAGCCCCAGUAAACGGCGGCCGUAACUAUAACGGUCCUAAGGUAGCGAAAUUCCUUGUCGGGUAAGUUCCGACCCGCACGAAAGGCGCAACGACUUGGGCACUGUCUCAACAAGGGACCCGGUGAAAUUGUAGUACUCGUGAAGAUGCGAGUUACCCGCGACAGGACGGAAAGACCCCGUGGAGCUUUACUGCAGGCUGACAUUGGAUUUUGGUAUCAAUUGUACAGGAUAGGUGGGAGACUUAGAAGUCGGGGCGCCAGCUUCGGUGGAGUCAUCCUUGGGAUACCACCCUAUUGGUACUGGAAUUC
rnacentral:ncRNA from 1 species